UAUUUAUAGUACCCGUCUUGAAACACGGAUUAGGGAGUUUAUCUGUAGUGCGAGUCUUUGCACGUUAACUGUAAAGGCGUAGAGAAAGCAACUGGCGUUUGCAUGGCUACUGAGCAUUACUGAUAGGACCCGAAAGGUGGUGAACUUUGCCUGCACAGGUUGAAGUCAGGGGAAACUCUGAUGGAGGACCGUACGGGUUAUUGAUGUGCAAAUCAUUUUUCUGAUGUAGGUAAAGGUGCGAAAGACUCAUCGAACCACCUAAUAGCUGGUUUCCUCCGAAGUUUCCCUCAGGAUAGCUGUAAUGCAUUUAGUUAAGGGGAGUAGAGAUAUGGGUAGAGGUGCAUGGAGCCUUCGGGUUCUCAACUUAUUUCCAAACUUCGAACCUCCUUGUUAGGCAUUUACCUAACUGGAAAUGCUUAAAUGAAUUAGCGUUACAAGUGGGCUCUGACCGGUAAGCGGUCAUGGCGAAAUGGGAUGAACCAUACGUCUGAAUAAGGUGCCGAAAUGUACUAUCACUGAUACCAUAAAGGGAGUCCAUGUAUUUAGACAGCAGGUCGGUGCCCCUAAAAGCAGGUAUCCGCUAAAGAGUGUGUUAAAACUCACCUGCCGAAUACUAGGGCCCCGAAAAUGAAUGGCGCAUAUAGUACUACCGAUCUCAGACAUCAGUUCUAUUGAACUGAGAGUAGGGGGAUGUGGACAUUUUUGUGAAGGUGCAAUGUGAGUUGGACUGGAAGAAUGUCUAUUACAGAUCCUAAUUGAAGUAGCGAUUAUCCAGGCUUGUAUCCUGGGGGCUGAUGAGGAGUAGGGUUUCUGGACAACUUAAACAGAUCCAGAGUUA
rnacentral:ncRNA from 1 species